GAAGACUGGUCACGUAGAGAGGGACUGCAAACACAGGGAUGGGGUGGUCUUGUGCUGGAUUCCUCCAUCUGGAAGAUGCACUGCUAGCUGACAGGUCAAAAUGAAUCGCCUUUUCCUGAAGAAGGCAAGAGCAACAAGGGACAUCUGCAUUUAGAUACCUAUGAUGUGGAACUGAGCCCCAUUUACUUGCUCGCAUUCCCACAAGCAGCAUGAAGUGCCGUCUGAAGUGUCCCUCUCUGGCUCCCACCUCCUGCUCCAGAGGAGAAUGUCUUGCAGAGAUCCUGCAUCCUGUCAACCCUGUGUGAAUAUUUCUGAGACCAAGAGGUGAUUCAUGGCACUGAAAUCAAACCCUUUCUGUAUCAUGAGAAAGCAUGUUUCGCAUCAUGUCCGUGACGAGACGGCUGCAAUUUGUACACGUGGCAGGAAGUCCAACCCACUGAAUACCAUGGGACUCUUGAGGACUUGCUGUAGAAAUUUCUGUGGCCAUCUGAGAAGGUUUAGCAGUCCAAAUCAACCUCACAUGUCUAACGGCACCACAAAGAAGAGGCGAAGCCCUAACACUCUCCAGUCCAUGCCAUGGUUGGUGCAUCAUGGAGCCCACAAGGUGAGAGAGCUGGCAGGGUGGGUGUCCUUCCCCGGGACAACUCGGUGCAUGAAGCCCUGCAGGGAUUGCAGUGCUGGGCUGCCGCUGCCUCCGUGAUGACUGACAGAGAGGUCUGAUGAAUUGUGCCUGACGCAUGGAGGCAUCCAAGGGAGAGACUGCGGCAGAGGACAGGCAGGCAAGUGGGAGCCUGACCUGGCUGCAUCCUUUGCCUGCUCCUUAACAGGCGUGAGUCCUCCCACCUGGUGACGCUCUCAAGGGCAGGGUUGGUCCCUUGUACUUCAGUAAAGUUCCUGCUCUGGAUGACCUGGGGGAAAAUUGAUGCUUGAAAGAGAAAUACAGAAAUUCUAAUGUUUAGCAACCAGCAAAUUAUUCUCCAAAUGCUUCAGUGUACAACAAAGAUAUUUUUGCAUAUUCCAGAGAUAGAGCCAUGUAAUUCAUGAAGCUUAACAUGGAAUUAGCCUUGAGUGGUGGUGGUUGCUGUCAUGGACAGGAGAGGCACUGCUUCAAGAUAGCACUGCAGUGGGAAGAGAUGCUGUUUAUCAAGCCCGAGUCCUAGAGCUGUAAGUCUUCUCUGUACCUCGGCACGAGGCAUCAGGACUGCCAGAACAGGAGCCAAACUCACCGUUAUGCUAAGACAGCCCUGCCACCUGGGAUCGUGGAGAAUUCCCAGAUCAGGGACCAGCAAAGGGGGAGGGUUUUUGUACUGUGACAGACUAAUUAGGCAUCACAGCAAAGCAUUUCCAUCCGCUUAGGAAGCACUGUCCUGACCUUGCUCCUACGCCUACUCCCUGUCGUUCACAGGGCUGAAAGAGCCUCACUCAGCUUUUUUAAAACUGGAAAGGAGCUCAAGCACCAUCCUUUAUGCAAGAGCUGAAAGGUUAACACAUGUCACUUUUGUCGGCCAGGACUUUGCAAUAGGCUAAGGAGGAGCCAGCCCUUUUUACUGAGGAAAAAGAAAAACAAGCCUGCCACAGCCUGCCCUUUCAACCCUCACGGUGCUACCCCACUUUCACACCACAGGGCUUAGAAUAAAUACAUUUUCUCUGAGCAGGGUUGUGUCCUCUCAGUUGCAGCAAAGACAAAAAGCAAUUCUUUGCUGUGCAGCACAAAAACCGUGCAGGUUGCUUUUAAGGUUUUCGUGUGGAUUGCCGGGACAAGCAAGCAUCAGGCUCCUGAAAUUAGAAAGGUCAGCAGGGAUACUUCCUGUUGAAGUUGCACAAACCCUGGUGCUCAGCUAAGAGGGCAUGGAGUUAAAAUUAGAAGUGGCUGCAGGGUUACAGAGAUUGCUCCUUCAGCCUGACGUGGUGAUGGGGUCUGCAGCUUAGGGGCAUGAGAAAAUAAGCAUCUCCAUCCUGAAUAUGUUCCAGAGAAUCACAGAAAAUACCACUCCUUCUGUCUCAGACACAAGGUUUGGGAUAUCAGGAAUUCCUCCCUCAAUAAUCCCUUUCUUUCCCUGGCAUAUAGAGGGCAUGUACACACCCAGCUGUCCUCACCAAAAUUAUAAGGACCAAAAUAAGUAGGGAAUCCCCAGCUGAGUUGUUUCCCAGAAAGACUGCUGUAUGGACAUAGCUCAGAAGAUGUCUUGGUGUUUGGCACUUUUCUGGGAUACAUAAGACUUAAUAAUUCACGAUUCAGAAGCCCAGAAUCUGAGCCCCCUUCUCUGCCGAGAAUGCCCUGUGUCUCUUUCUGGGGAUGUUUAUUCACCAAAAGCAGGACAGCUCCAACAGAAGAAAUGGAGAGAGAUCCCACAGUCCCAAACAGGCUGUGUUUGCUUCAGACCUUCUUAGAUACCCUCCCCCAGUUGUUUAUCUUCCAUGUACUCAAGGUACCUAACUUGGAGGAGGGUAGAUUGCAGGGACUGGCUACUGCCAAGGACGUGAUGUGUGGUUGUAUGCAAGACCCACUGCAACAGUUUACACCGGUGUUGCAUAUUCCUUAUCCCAUGUCCUAACCACAGCCAUUCCUCCUGCAUCAAUGAGGAUGUACCUCUCUGGAUGAGUAGUGGGACUGAUGGACUUACCCUCAAGGUCUGUCUCGUUGCAGAAAAGUAGUGUUGCAAUUUUGGAGCAAAACACUGCAAAUCCCAAAUGCCAAAUUUUGUAGCUUGAUGUAUGCAUGUAUUUGAGUUUUUACAUCCCAUUCCUAACCUCGUGUUAGGAGGAGCACUUAUUCCUGACACCUGCCAAGGAGCCACCAAGUGCAAGUUCUCCACCUUCAAAUUAAAGAAAAGAGGGAACUUGCAGGGCAUACACACAGCCAGUUUGGAAACUCUUCCUGCCCUCCAGAACAAAGACCACUGGAGGAGCCUGAGGUCCAGAAAUAACAACAAUCCACCCUUUCUUGUAAGGCAGCUGGGAUUUCAAAUGUCUGGGGCUAAAUACGGUGCUAGGCCAGCAAGGAUCCAUCAGGAAAGAGGGUUAUUUCUCUCUGUUAAUGAGAGGAGUGUCUGCUUGUACACAUCUGUAAAGACCUCAGCUUUGGAAAGCACGUUUCUUUCAUUUUGAUGGUUUACACUCCCAUUUUCACCAUGUUCUUCAUCUUUCACUGAAUAUUUCCUAUCUAGAAAACAAACAAUCAAACAAAACCAACAUAUAUAAAGAAGCAAUUUGUCUGGCUGGUAAAAAAACAAACAAACAAAAAAAACCACAAAAAAACCCAAACCAAAAACAAAACCCAAAAACCCCAAAAAACAACCACCCAAAAGAUAAACAGAGAUGCACAGCCAAACAUGCCAUACAGCUAUGCACAGCCAAGCACGCUGUACAGCUGUGCAAGUCUCUUGUUGCUUCUCCUCCCUCCUCCUCGGCUCUGCUGAAAGACAGCAGCUGUAAUCCCCUCCAGGUGUUGACAAGCAUUAUCUUUCCAGCCGGUAGAAACGUGACAGCUCUGGAGCUGGCUGGUAACACGUGUUCCCGUGCUGUAAGAGGGAGAGGGAAGCUGCAAGAUCGAACAUGCAUGUGAGUCAUACCAGCCAAGGGGAAACGUAAACUUUGGAAGCGGUGCAAGUGUGAGAGAUGUAACUGCAAGGGAUCCUUUUCGGCGGCGUGCUCCAUUCACAGAUGCACUGAGUGAUCCCAGGAGAAGCUGAUGGAGGUAAGAAGUACCUACUUCAGCAAUGUCUGUCUCCUGGAUUGACACUGCAGCUGGUACCCAGCCCCUCUGAAUGGGCCUUGUGAGCAGGCUGUAUGGGUGCUGAGCCCACGCUGCCCCGGGGCGGACAGGCACAGAUGUGGGUCACUGCCCAAACAGGGACAGUGGCAAACACAGACAUGCAUGGGACAGGUCUCAUGGGGAGGAGCUCCAGUGACCAGUUUUCAGUUUGAUGAUUGCAUUUUUGUGUUUUAUUUCACUUCUUUCUUCUGGCUGGUGCUACAAGUGGGGAACUUGCUGGCUGAACACAGAUAGGGUGUGAUGUCGAGUAUGCACAGGAGGCUUUAAAAUGAGGAAAGUCAACAGCUGGAAGAGAAAUCCUGGGAAAUGUUCACCCUUCUUCUACUAACCUGUUAGGUUCCAGCAGUAGCUUUCAACAAUAGCAGAGAAGGGUGAUCUUGAAGUCAACAAGCACUUUUAAAACUUCCAUGGAAUGACCAGCUUGAGCUGCUGCCUGGCAAUCUGCAAGUCACCACUGUAAGCACUGUAAAAUGCUUUUGGGUAGCUACACCGGGAUCAGGUCUUCCUACAUGAGACAUCUCCAUCUGGGCAACUUGUCUAGACUCCUCGAGCACUCAGCAGAGAGAAACAGGCCUGCCGAGAGUGCAGUUCAUCUCCUCCUAACAUAGUUGUCUACAGCAGAUGAAUCAUGCUCUUCUCUGCCUCUCUCUCCCCGCUGCUCAUAAUGGGAGUCUGGAUGCAGGCUCAGAGGGAGUCAUCUUCACCAGAAAUGUUUAAAGUUAAGUCAAUGCAUACCAUUUCCAGCGUAUGUCUGAUGCCAAGAUCAGAGCUAUCACUACCCGGCUCAGUGCCUUUCUGAAUCCUGCAAGAAUUGAUGUGUCAGAAAGCAACAUUUCACUUUGCUCCCUAUGAAACCAAAAUUCUUCUACACGUGGCUCUGUACCUGUCAGUCACUGCUGACAUGGAGAGACGCGGGCUGCAGGGCCACCAAGCAGCCAUGCUGGGCCAGCUGUUCUGCUGCAGUCACUGACAGGCACUGAAUAACAGGCUCCUUUCAGUGGCAAACACUUUUUCCCUGGCAUCUAGAAGAGCUCCUUGGCAGGCAACAGUGAAUAAAGGUGCUGUAGCCUUCACCUGAUGUCCCUAGGCUGGGUUUAGAACCAAGCAUCCUGGUGGUACCUGGCCAACUUCCGAGCUGCAGGGGCAGUCACAGCUUGCAUUCAAACAUUAGCUCAAAGUGCCCAAGUUAGGAUGCUGCGGUCCAUGGGCUUUACCCCUCCAGAUGACAGUUCUGUGUCACACUGAAUAAUUGCUGGGAGACCCUGUCUUCACAUUGCCUGGAGCAAAAUCCCGACACACAUGGCUAGAGUUAGUGGUAUCAAUCCAAUCCAGCGCUAACUUUCCCCUUGGUGCUUUCCCUUAAUUAUAGAUCAAUGGAUGUAACAAUAUAUUUUACAUUAUUCACACUGGACACCUUAAAAAGUGUUUUGCCAUUGGCUUGUGGAAACCUUGGAAAGGUUUAAUAUAGAGUCAGAAUACUGAUGUCAUGGGACAUCACCACGGAAUGGGAAAAUUGCCCUGCAGUAGCACUGUUUCUUUCUGACCCAGAGAGUAAAUUCCAGAGGGAUCGGUGAUGCUGUGUUUGUGCUGUCUUUAACCACGAGCAUAAGCUCUGACAAGGAGGAUUCAGUAGGACUAUCAAGUCAUUUGAAUGUUGGAUGCUUGAAGGCGUUUGCAAUCAAAUCCAGCUCAUACAAGCAAUGUUCACUUAAGUGCAAAGCCAGGCACCAAGCUCAUGCAUGACAAUUUCUGAUUGAAUCUUCAAAUACCACCCUAAAGGUGACCAGAAGCUACAGGACUGGCCCUUCGAGUAGGUAUAGUGUUCAUCAUGUACUCCAGAUAUGGGAAUUAAUAUUGAGGUACUAGGAAAUGAGUGAGUAUUGCUGUGUCAGGGGAGAGUAAGUUUUCAUUUGCCUGUUGUGCUCGUUUGGGCUGGGGUAGAGUUGAUUUUCUUCAUGAUGGCUAGUAUGGGGCUAUGGUUUGGAUUUGUACUGCAAACAGUGUUGACCACACAGAGAUGGUUUAGUUAUUGCUGAGCAGUGCCUACACAGAGCCAAGGCCUUUUCUGCUCCUCACCCCACCCCACCAGUGAGCAGGCUGGGGGUGGGGUAUAACAGGAGGGGAAACAGCCAGGACAGUUGACCCCAGCUGACCAGAGGGACAUCCCAUACCGUACGGCAUCAUGCUCAGCAAUAAAAGCUGGAGGUAGAAGAAGGAAGGAGGGGGCGUUUGGAGUGAUGGCAUUUAUCUUCCCAAGUAACCAUUACACGUGAUGGAGCCCUGCUUUCCUGGUGAUGGCUGAGGACCUGCCUGCCCAUAGCAGGUGAAUGGAUACCUUGUUUUCCUUUGCUUGCAUGCACAGCCUUUGCUUCACCUAUUAAACUGCCUUUAUCUCAGCCUACGAGUUUUCUCACCUUUACCGUUCCGAUUCUCUCCCCCAUCCCACCAGGGAGGCUGUGUGGGGAUCAGUUGCCAGUUGGGGUUAAACCAUGACAGUCUUUUUUUUUGGCACCCAAAGUAGGGUUCAAAGGGUUCAAGAUAACAGCAGGUUUGGCUGGAAUGUGCUAGCUCGAAUUUAUAGCUGUUAUUGCUGUUUAGCUAUUAAUCGGUGGGCUCCUGUGCUUGCCCUUGGGGCUUGCUUGUCUCACUGCAUAUUAGAGUCUGGCUCGUUAGUGGCUGUUUUUUGCUUUUGCUGUUUACUGUACCGCUGCGCUUCUUACCAUUUUACUCUGCUGUGCCUGGGAGCAUUUUGAUAACAGCAGUGGCGAUGUGCCUGGGCUGGCUGAUGGCCAGGGCAUCAUUGCUGCUCUUUCUGUGCUGCUGUACUGGACAGACUGGAGCUCCAGUGUGAACUUGAGACAAGGGGGACUGUGACCUGUGGAUGAGUCCAUGUGGGAGCAGGACACCCUGAAGUAUCUGUGGCUGUGGGUAAGCCUACCCCAGAACAGGUACAUCCUGAAGCAUCUGUGUCCGUGGUUAUGUCUGUUCCACAGCAGGUAGACCUCUGAAGGGAAUAUGGCCCAAGGACAAGUCCACACUGACAAAGAUUCUGUGGCUGUAGAUAAGUCCUUGCUGCCACAGGUACACCCUAAAGCAUCAGUGGAUGUACACAAAGUCAUGCUGGAGCACCUCCAAGUGUGUGGCCAUGGAUAAGCCCAUGACAGAGCAGGUACAACUCUGGAGGGACUGAAGCCAGGAGAAAGGCCAUAUUGGAGCAGCUUUAUUUCUGAAGGGACUGUGGCUGUGAGUAAGGCCACGUUAGAGCAGGUCUAUCUCUGAAGGCAUUGUGGCCCAUGGAUAAGGCCACGUAGGAACAGGUGCACCUCAGAGCAAUUGUGGCUGUGGAUAGGACUAUGCUGCAGCAAGUAUACCCCUGGAAAGACUGUGGCUCAUGGCUGAGGCUCCAUCUGGAGCAGGUAAAACCCUAAGGGACUGCAGUUUGUGGGUAAGUCCAAGCUGGAGCAGGGGCAAAGGGAGGAUUUCAUUGCAAUGUUAAACCCUAUGAUCUGGUCCAAAGAGACUGGGGUGGAGAUUGCAAUGGAAAUACCUUUGGUUUGUUGUAACCUGGAACUUGGGUUGCGCGUUAGGGGAAUUACCAUAGCAGAAACCCCUUGUUGCUAGACAGACUAGGAGCAAGGUGAGGAGUGCAUUGCAAUGUUACACCCUGGCUUAAAGGGACCAGGUGUGGAGAUUAUAAUGGAAAUACCUUUAAACUGUUGUAACCCAUGAUUUGACUUGUGUGUUAUAGGAAUUACUACAGCAGGAACCACCUGAACCAGUGGAGGACAAGACUUAAAGAAGGUGCAAGUGCAGCAGUAACCCACCUGAGCUGCCUGUGGUGCCCAGUAACUCCACACAACACACCAUCUCUCCUGUCCUGAGUCACCACCAUAACAGAUGGACUCCAAAGUCAUGGACUAGAUGAACUCAAUGGACAACUGGUGGACAUUUGUGGACAUUUAUGGACAUUUACAGCCAUUUCACAGGGGUGGUCCAUAGAUUAAGAGAAUGAUUAAGAGAAUGAUACCUUUGUACUGUACUAAAGGAUGGAAGGGGUGGUGGUGGUUAAUGAGGAUGUAUUGGAUAGUAUGGAACAUGAGCAUGAUAUAAAUGGUAUGGAAUAAGUAGAGUAAGUGGUGCAGAGUGUGCUGGUUUCAGCUGGGGUAGAGCUAGUUUUCUUCAUAAUAGUACAGGGCUAUGGUUUGGGUUUGUGCUGCAGUGUUGAUCUCACACAGAGAUGGUUUAGUUAUUGCUGAGCAGUGCCUACACAGGGCCAAGGUCUUUUCUGUUCCUCACCGUGCUCCACCAGUGAGCAGGCUGAGGGAGCAUAAGAAGUCAGGAGGGAAAACAGCUGGGACAACUGACCCCAAAUGACCAAACCAACAUCCCAUACCAUACAACGUCACGCUCACCAUAGAAAGCUGGGGGAAGAAGGAAGAAGGGGGCGAUGUUUGGAGUGAUGGCAUUUAUCUUCCCAAGUAACCAUUACACGUGAUGAAGCCCGGCUUUCCUGGAGAUGACAGAACACCUGCCUGCUGAUGGGAAGUAGUGAAUUAAUUCCUCUUUUUCCUUUGCUUGCACGCACAGCCUUUGCUUCACCUAUUAAACUGCCUUUAUCUCAGCCUACGAGUUUUCUCAUCUUUACUCUUCCAAUUCUCUCCCCCAUCCCACCAGGGAGGAGUGAGCAGGUGGCUGGGCGGGGCUGAGCUGCCAGCUGGGGUUAAACCACAACAUCUGUACUUCAAAACUGAUUGAUCUUCACGAAUUAGUUUUAACCUUGUACUUCAGUUUCUUGAGGUAGGUUUUGUUUACACAAUUUCAGGGAUAGAUUCGGGUUUUUUGACAUCCACGGCAAAUCCAGUUUAAGAUGCCCUAGACCAUCCCUGACAUUUACAAGGAGCUUGUUACGUGACUCUGGACUUACAGGAGAUCUGCACCACUUUAGACCAACACUGGAGCAUGAUAUUGGAUUCCCUAGGCCAUCCCAACUGGCAAUAAACAUCUAUGUUUAAACUUCAUAGACUCUUUAGAUGUCUGAUGCUUGUGAUCUUAGAUAUGGAAGUGUCCACAGAAAAUCCAUGGAACUGAGACUACCAGAUGAGAAAAGAUAAACUUUGGGACAGUCAGGGUUCGGCUGAGUUGCGCCCAGACAGAGGUAUAGUUCUGCCUGAGAUGUCCUAGGAAACCUAAGGCAUCCACAUGGAACUAGCAGGUAGGGUUGCCUUUCUUCUUGGAAAGGGCCAGAACUUAACUUCUGUGUAUUGAGGAUGGUGUGGCUCUCUGGGAUUCCCUGGAGGAUCUCAGAGGGCACUGUAAGCCUUUGUGAGGGCAGCUCAGUGGAGACCUAGCUCUCCACUGACUGCUCCACAUAAACCCCUAUUUCUUAGGCACCUAUAACGAAGUAUGCACCUCUGGAGCUGAACCCAGUUCUUAAUUUGAGUGAAAUGAAUCUUACCUCUGGAAAUCAAUUGGUUGGCUAUGUGUUUAAGAAGCUGGAUAUUAAAAUUAUAACAGUAUUAAUGAAUUAAUUUAAAAUAUUGAUUAUUUCCACAUGUCUGCAUACACUUUCACAAACCUGGCACAAUACUACACACGUACUUUUCCACCGUACAAUUUAAGGCAUUUUGUUUUCACCCUCUCUUGGUUUUUUGCUGUUUUAUUCUCCCUGCAAAUAUUGAUAAAAUGGACCAUUUCCCAAAGAGAUAUGCACAUGUAUGCAGCUGAGGUAUGGUCAAACUUCUCCUGGUAUUAGUUGGGCAUUUAUUCAGAAAUCAAUACAUUGCCCCAGGGGAAAAGAAAAAAAAUACAUAUAAUCUGGUAGAAAACAGUUGUUAAAUGAAGUUAGCAGUUCUAUCAUGAUUUGUAAAGUCCACCCUCUUCAGUAAAUGACUGAGCCUCUUCCAGCUGUUUGCUGCAGUGCAAAUACCCAAUCCUUUUCAAUGUUGAAGGUAAAAUUUAUUUAAAUUUUAUUGGUUGUCUGCAAGGGCGAGGCACUGAGCAAUUGCAAAUCCUAUUAGCUUCAGAACAGAGCCUCGUAUGAAAUUGUCUGAGGGAUCCCAGAUGAUUGUAAAGUGUUUAGAUACCAUCACUGGCAUAGUAAAGGUAAUCACAAGGAACUGAACUCUACUCGUUUCUAAUUUGGUCCAUAUUGCAUCCAACCAUUUCUCAGAUACCUAACAGGUGAACUAACUCAUCCUUUCUGUCUACUGCUACAUGAUCACAUACUACAGUGAUGAGAACAGUAGAAACCGAUGGGUAGUAUGGAAGAGAUCUACUGGAAUGACCUGUCUCAGUGUUGAGGAUUUCUGGUGAAGUGAGGAAUGGCCUCAACUUCUACUAAAGAAAAAAACAGAGAAAGUGGGGAAAGACUUUGAUAUCUCAGGACCUUUUCCUGGGUACAGAGAAAGUGGGGUAGGGUAGGGUAGGGUAAGGCAGGGUAGGGGGGAAAUGAAUGUACGUCUCUGUGGGCUCUGACCAGACUUUGGCAAUGAAUCCAGAUUUUGUCGCAUUUCUGUGCAUUGGCAAUC